GGCUGGUCCGAGUGCAGUGGUGUUUACAACUAAUUGAUCACACCAGUUACAGAUUUCUUUGUUCCUUCUCCACUCACUCCCACUGCUUCACUUGACUGGCCUUAA
rnacentral:Y_RNA from 1 species